AUGUAUCUUCAUUUUCCACUUGUUUCUUUCCCUACCCAGGCUCUGGUAGCCAAGUCGAAAGCAUCUCGUCGAGUUCUGGAAAGGAAACAGGCCUCGGUCACUUUCACACAGACAAGAUCCUCUCAGCCACGCACCAAGCAAACCACCAUCUCUGCCUUCUUCAGCUCCCAGACAGAUGAUAAAGAAAACUCCAGGCUGUCUCCUUUCAUCCCAAAAUGUAAAGAAAAAGGUAUUUCUUUGGCUGCUUCCCCUGUGAAGAUCUUGGCUUUGCCGCAGAUGGAGGAAGGCCGUAAGGAAUCGUUCAGCACCGAGGUGGGGACGGCGCGGGCUGCGCCGCGGUGUCCUGCUCCGUCCCCUUUGCCGGACUCUUCGGUGUUAGAAGGGGAGUCCUGUGGCACGAGCGAAGCCUCCUGUGGGGUGGGAGAGGAUUCCUGCUUCUUCAGCUUCACCCAGGACUCGGAGGGCAACCGCAUCAUCGCUCACAGAAACGCAUCUGAUUUAUUUGCUGGAGAAACAGUUUCGGUGAGCAGCAAACGAGGGGGGAGGCUGCUCCCAGAGGAGACAAUUGGACUCGAUUUCCAACCCAGACUCGGUGCAAACGAGAAGAAGAAACCACACCCAUCGAGUAGCAUUAAUUCUUUCACUGAUUUCACUGAGACUGAGAAUACAAAUCCUACUCUGAGGAGAGACAGCACCUGUGCUGCUGGCUUUUAUCCCUCUCCCCAGAGAUCGGCCAGAGCGCAGCCCCUGAGAGAACGCAACCACAACGUGGGGGCUGGAUCAGCCCAGGAGGGACGGGGCAGUCCCUGCAGGGAGCUCUUCACCCAGGACUCCCAGGGGAACAGGGUGAUCGCUCACCGUGCCCAGACCCUUCCAUCCCCCUCCAAGGGCUGCUCCGGCAACGGGAGCUUGAGCGAAGCUGAGGAGCACAAGUUGGACACAUGCUACGAUUUACUGUUCACACAGGAUUCAGAAGGGAACAGAGUGAUUAAACACUGGUAAGUGACCUUUCCUGAGGCUUCACAAGAGGUCGUUACGUGACCAACAGGUCCCGUAACGACCUCUUGUGAAGCCUCAGGAAAGCAUUUUUUUAGUAUGAGUAAGUGUACCCAUUAUUUAUGUCUAUAUGGGCUGGCCAGUAGUAGACCCACGCAACGAGCAGGACCUCUUUUGUUCUCAGAAAUGUUGAUGUUAAUAAAAAUUCAAUAUUGAAGGAGUCA
rnacentral:lncRNA from 1 species